rnacentral:rRNA from 1 species
UACGGGGGGAGCAAGCGUUGUUCGGAUUUACUGGGCGUAAAGGGCGCGUAGGCGGCCAGCACAAGUCAGUUGUGAAAUCUCCGAGCUUAACUCGGAAGGGUCAACUGAUACUGUGCGGCUAGAGUGCGGAAGGGGCAACUGGAAUUCUUGGUGUAGCGGUGAAAUGCGUAGAUAUCAAGAGGAACACCUGCGGCGAAGGCGGGUUGCUGGGCCGACACUGACGCUGAGGCGCGAAAGCUAGGGGAGCGAACGGG